rnacentral:misc_RNA from 1 species
UUUCCGUAGGUGAACCUGCGGAAGGAUCAUUAUUGUAUAACCGAGGUGCGAGGGCUGUCGCUGACCCGAAAGGUCGUGCACGCCCGAGUGCCCUCACACACAUCCCUCUCACCCCUAUGUGCACCACCGCGUGGGUCCCCCUUUGGCUUGUUCGGAGGGGGGCUUACGUUUUCACACAAACUUUGUAUGCAGUGUAGAAUGUAUUUUUUGUUUUUGCGAUCACGCAAUCAAUACAACUUUCAACAACGGAUCUCUUGGCUCUC